rnacentral:SRP_RNA from 1 species
GGCUCGGCGCCCUCUGCCGACCAGCCGCGGACCUUCGUCAGGAGCUCUGAGCUGGAGUGGCAGCUGCUGGGCAAGAAGAUGCAGGUUGGAGAGCCCCAGGCUGGCAGCGAUGAGGAGCAGUUCGUCGAUGUCACUGAGCUCGGGUCGUUCACGGAUAGCAUC